rnacentral:rRNA from 1 species
GAGUAACGCGUGAGGAACCUGCCUCGGAGUGGGGAAUAACACACCGAAAGGUGUGCUAAUACCGCAUAAUGCAGUUGGGUCGCAUGACUCUGACUGCCAAAGAUUUAUCGCUCUGAGAUGGCCUCGCGUCUGAUUAGCUAGUAGGCGGGGUAACGGCCCACCUAGCCCGCGAUGGGUAGCCGGGUUGAGAGACCGACCGGCCACAUUGGGACUGAGAUACGGCCCAGACUCCUACGGGAGGCAGCAUG